rnacentral:rRNA from 1 species
UACGUAGGGUGCAAGCGUUGUCCGGAAUUAUUGGGCGUAAAGAGCUCGUAGGCGGUCUGUCGCGUCGGCUGUGAAAUCCCGAGGCUCAACCUCGGGUCUGCAGUCGAUACGGGCAAACUAGAGUAUUGCAGGGGAGACUGGAAUUCCUGGUGUAGCGGUGAAAUGCGCAGAUAUCAGGAGGAACACCGGUGGCGAAGGCGGGUCUCUGGGCAGUAACUGACGCUGAGGAGCGAAAGCAUGGGGAGCGAACAGG